AAGUCGUAACAAGGUAACCGUAGGUGAACCUGCGGUUGGAUCAUUAAUGAUUUUAUUAAUGGGUGAUUAAAUUCUAUUCACGUAGAACUUUUGAACCCUGAACCUAAUGUGAACUGUUAAAGUCUCUGGCGAGACUUUGAGCUCGCCAGUAUUAUCAAAACAUGUUUAGUAGUACCUAGUCUUAUUUUUAAUAAAACUAAUAUGAAACAACUUUUGACAACGGAUCUCUUGGCUCUC
rnacentral:misc_RNA from 1 species